GCGUCGGUGGUGUAGUGGUAGUAGUACGCGUUCCCGGUAUGGAUGAAACGCGGGUUCGAUUCCCGCCUGAGGCC